rnacentral:rRNA from 1 species
UUUAAAGAGAGUUUGAUCCUGGCUCAGGACGAACGCUGGCGGCGUGCCUAAUACAUGCAAGUCGAACGAACGGAGGAAGAGCUUGCUCUUCCAAAGUUAGUGGCGGACGGGUGAGUAACACGUGGGCAACCUGCCUGUAAGUUGGGGAUAACUCCGGGAAACCGGGGCUAAUACCGAAUGAUAAAGUGUGGCGCAUGCCACGCUUUUGAAAGAUGGUUUCGGCUAUCGCUUACAGAUGGGCCCGCGGUGCAUUAGCUAGUUGGUAGGGUAAUGGCCUAC